rnacentral:rRNA from 1 species
CUACGGGUCGCUCCAGUAGGGAAUAUUGCGCAAUGGGCGAAAGCCUGACGCAGCAAUGCCGCGUGAGUGAGGAAGGCCUUCGGGUUGUAAAGCUCUGUCAAAGUGGAAAAACGGUCAUUAUUCGAAUAGGGUAGUGAAUUGAUGGUACACUGAAAGGAAACACCGGCUAACUUCGUGCCAGCAGCCGCGGUAAUACGAAGGGUGUAUGCGUUGUUCUGAUUUAUUGGGCGUAAAGAGCGCGCAGGCGGAUUAUUAAGCCAGAUGUGAAAUCUCGGGGCUCAACCUCGAAACUGCGGCUGGAACUGGUAAUCUAGAGUGUUAGAGAGGGAAGGGGAAUUUCUCAUGUAGGGGUAAAAUCCGUAGAGAUGAGAAGGAACACCAGAGGCGAAGGCGCCUUCCUGGCUAAAUACUGACGCUGAGGCGCGAAAGCGUGGGGAUCAAACAGGAUUAGAUACCCGGGUAGUC